rnacentral:rRNA from 1 species
GAUGAACGCUGGCGGCGUGCCUAAUACAUGCAAGUCGAGCGAACGGACGAGAAGCUUGCUUCUCUGAUGUUAGCGGCGAACGGGUGAGUAACACGUGGAUAACCUACCUAUAAGACUGGGAUAACUUCGGGAAACCGGAGCUAAUACCGGAUGAUAUUUUGAACCGCAUGGUUCAAAAGUGAAAGACGGUCUUGCUGUCACUUAUAGAUGGAUCCGCGCUGCAUUAGCUAGUUGGUAAGGUAACGGCUUACCAAGGCAACGAUGCAUAGCCGACCUGAGAGGGGGAUCGGCCACCCUGGAACUGAGACACGGUCCAGACUCCUACGGGAGGCAGCAGUAGGGAAUCUUCAGCAAUGGGCGAAAGCCUGACGGAGCAACGCCGCGUGAGUGAUGAAGGUCUUCGGAUCGUAAAACUCUGUUCUUAGGGAAGAACAUAUGUGUCAGUACCUGUGCACAUCUUGACGGUACCUAAUCAGAAAGCCACGGCUAACUACGUG